CCCUUAGAUGUUCUGGGCCGCACGCGCGCUACACUGACGAAUGCAACGAGCUUAUAACCUUGGCCGAAAGGUCUGGGUAAUCUCCAAAUUUCGUCGUGAUGGGGAUAGAUUAUUGCAAUUAUUAAUCUUCAACGAGGAAUGCCUAGUAAGCGCAAGUCAUCAGCUUGCGUUGAUUACGUCCCUGCCCUUUGUACACACCGCCCGUCGCUACUACCGAUUGAAUGGUUUAGUGAGGCCUUCGGAUCCGCGACUCGUUUGUGGAGAAGUUGGACAAACUCAGUCAUUUAGAGGAAGUAAAAGUCGUAACA
rnacentral:rRNA from 1 species